GGCGAGGCCUGGCCCUGCGGCGCGGGGAGCGCCCCUGCCCACGGCGCAGCUGGUAAUGCUUUCACAAAUGAGGGAAAAGUAAAACGAAGCCCUUGCGUUGUUUUUUUUUUUUUUUUUCCACCAAAAAGCUUCAUACCGAUCCAAGCGGGCUUUUUCCUGGCGUCGUAAAACUACCGUCAUCUGAUAACGGUAUAUCUGCAGAGGAAAUCAGUGAAGCAGGGGCACUGAAUGAGAGGCCUGCCUAGGAAGAAAAAAACAGAGAGGAACGCAACCAGGCUAAGGCUGGCAUAAAUGUCACCAGAAAAGCUGAGAAACUGGAAUAAAAGGUCAGCUCCCUUCUAAAGACACGUGAAAACAAAGGCCAGAAAAAGAGCACAGUACCAUUUUACGUAUUUGACCAAGCCAAGCGACUUCAGCGAGGUCCUUGGGAGACUCGGGGUACGUGUCUUUCAUGUUCCGCACAGGAAACGGCAAGGCACUGCCGGCGCUCCUGAUCUCUGCGCUAUCACAGAACUGAUUAAAUCAGGAGAGAAGCUUAAUGGAGGAGCCUUGCCUAGUAUGCAAGGGAACACAAAUUGUCUGCAUCAAGUGGUAAUAAGGAAAUAUUGUUUAUUCUUUGCAGAGAUGAGAAAAUCUUUUCCAGCCUGUUGCUCCUCCACCUGAUGAAUGGAAACUACUGCCUUAGGAUUAAAUUUUGU
rnacentral:lncRNA from 1 species